GAAAUGCGAUACUUGGUGUGAAUUGCAGAAUUCAGUGAAUCAUCGAAUCUUUGAACGCACAUUGCGCCCCUUGGUAUUCCGGGGGGCAUGCCUGUUCGAGCGUCAUUAUAACCCUCAAGCCUAGCUUGGUGUUGGAGCAUGCUACCUAGCAGCUCUUAAAAUCAGUGGCAGUGCCCUUCGGCUCUAAGCGUAGUAACUUCUCUCGCUAUGGAAACCGGGUGGUAUGCGCCAAAACCCCCAACUUUCUAAGGUUGACCUCGGAUCAGGUAGGGAUACCCGCUGAGUUUAA
rnacentral:misc_RNA from 1 species